CCAGACAGCCAGGAUGUUGGCUUAGAAGCAGCCAUCAUUUAAAGAAAGCGUAAUAGCUCACUGGUCGAGUCGGCCUGCGCGGAAGAUGUAACGGGGCUAAACCAUGCACCGAAGCUGCGGCAGCGACGCUUAUGCGUUGUUGGGUAGGGGAGCGUUCUGUAAGCCUGUGAAGGUGGCCUGUGAGGGUUGCUGGAGGUAUCAGAAGUGCGAAUGCUGACAUAAGUAACGAUAAAGCGGGUGAAAAGCCCGCUCGCCGGAAGACCAAGGGUUCCUGUCCAACGUUAAUCGGGGCAGGGUGAGUCGACCCCUAAGGCGAGGCCGAAAGGCGUAGUCGAUGGGAAACAGGUUAAUAUUCCUGUACUUGGUGUUACUGCGAAGGGGGGACGGAGAAGGCUAUGUUGGCCGGGCGACGGUUGUCCCGGUUUAAGCGUGUAGGCUGGUUUUCCAGGCAAAUCCGGAAAACCAAGGCUGAGGCGUGAUGACGAGGCACUACGGUGCUGAAGCGACAAAUGCCCUGCUUCCAGGAAAAGCCUCUAAGCAUCAGGUAACAUCAAAUCGUACCCCAAACCGACACAGGUGGUCAGGUAGAGAAUACCAAGGCGCUUGAGAGAACUCGGGUGAAGGAACUAGGCAAAAUGGUGCCGUAACUUCGGGAGAAGGCACGCUGAUAUGUAGGUGAAGCGACUUGCUCGUGGAGCUGAAAUCAGUCGAAGAUACCAGCUGGCUGCAACUGUUUAUUAAAAACACAGCACUGUGCAAACACGAAAGUGGACGUAUACGGUGUGACGCCUGCCCGGUGCCGGAAGGUUAAUUG
rnacentral:rRNA from 1 species